GUGACUCUUGAUCUUGAGGUUGUGAGUUUGAGCCCCACGUUGGAUAUAGCAGGGGAAAGCGCGAACACAGUCCCCCACUACCACAAAUUAUGCAGUCGAGUUUCCCACAUUUGGGAAAAU